rnacentral:rRNA from 1 species
GACGAACGCUGGCGGCGUGCCUAACACAUGCAAGUCGAACGGAACUGUUUUGAAAGCUUUCUUCGGAAUGAAUUUGAUUUCGUUUAGUGGCGGACGGGUGAGUAACGCGUGAGUAACCUGCCUUCAAGAGGGGAAUAACAUUCUGAAAAGAAUGCUAAUACCGCAUGACAUAUCGGAACCACAUGGUUUUGAUAUCAAAGAUUUUAUCGCUUGAAGAUGGACUCGCGUCCGAUUAGUUAGUUGGUGAGGUAACGGCUCACCAAGACCGCGAUCGGUAGCCGGACUGAGAGGUUGAACGGCCACAUUGGGACUGAGACACGGCCCAGACUCCUACGGGAGGCAGCAGUGGGGGAUAUUGCGCAAUGGGGGCAACCCUGACGCAGCAACGCCGCGUGAAGGAUGAAGGUUUUCGGAUUGUAAACUUCUUUUAUUAAGGACGAAAAAUGACGGUACUUAAUGAAUAAGCUCCGGCUAACUACGUG